AGCCUGAGGGCGAAAUYUUAGGUAAAUUYUGCCCACUGCAACGUAAAAGGCCGCAGUACUUUGACUGUGCUAAGGUAGCGAAAUCAUUAGGCUUUUAAAUGAAGCCCGGAAUGAAGGAAACCACGGAAAGGAGCUGUCUCUUUUUCCUGAAAGGAAGUUAGUUGUGGGGUGAAAACACCCCCUUGUAGAUAAAAGACGAGAAGACCCCAGGAGCUUUAAAAUUAGUUUUUGUUGGGGCAACACAGGAACAAGAAACUUCCUGAUGCAAAUAGGCUAGUCAAGUGGUUUUCARAGCAAGCUACCCUGGGGAUAACAGCAUUAUUUUUUAAAAGCUUGUGACCUCGAUGUUGGACUAGGGACUAUUAGACUAGAAGUCUAAUUAGCCGGUUCUGUUCGAACCUACCACCCCU
rnacentral:rRNA from 1 species